rnacentral:rRNA from 1 species
GGUUCAUUCAAAUUUCUGCCCUAUCAACUUUCGAUUGUUGUGUAUUGGACAACAAUGGUGAUAACGGGUAACGGAGGGUUAGGGCUCGACCCCGGAGAAGGAGCCUGAGAAACGGCUACUACAUCCAAGGAAGGCAGCAGGCGCGCAAAUUACCCAAUCCCGACCGGGGAGGUAGUGACAAUAAAUACUGAUACAGGGCUCUUUUGGGUCUUGUAAUUGGAAUGAGUACAAUUUAAAUCCCUUAACGAGGAACAAUUGGAGGGCAAGUCUGGUGCCAGCAGCCGCGGUAAUUCCAGCUCCAAUAGCGUAUAUUAAAGUUGUUGUGGUUAAAAAGCUCGUAGUUG